rnacentral:rRNA from 1 species
GAUGAACGCUAGCUACAGGCUUAACACAUGCAAGUCGAGGGGAAACGAUAGAGAAAGCUUGCUUUUUCUAGGCGUCGACCGGCGCACGGGUGAGUAACGCGUAUCCAACCUGCCCAUCACUUGGGGAUAACCUUGCGAAAGUAAGACUAAUACCCAAUGAUAUCUCUAGAAGACAUCUGAAGGAGAUUAAAGAUUUAUCGGUGAAGGAUGGGGAUGCGUCUGAUUAGCUUGUUGGCGGGGUAACGGCCCACCAAGGCGACGAUCAGUAGGGGUUCUAAGAGGAAGGACCACCACAUUGGAACUGAGACACGGUCCAAACGCCUACGGGAGGCAGCAGUGUGGAAUAUUGGUCAAUGGACGAGAGUCUGAACCAGCCAAGUAGCGUGCAGGAUGACGGCCCUAUGGGUUGUAAACUGCUUUUAUAAGGGAAUAAAGUGAGUCUCGUGAGACUUUUUGCAUGUACCUUAUGAAUAAGGACCGGCUAAUUCCGUGCCAGCAGCCGCCGUAA